UGAUUCAUUGCAGGAGUAGCUAAGUCGUAAAAUGGAACUUCCAUUUUGUGACGUUUAAGACGAGGCAGACAAUCAACAAUGGGAUCACUACAGGUGCCAUUAACUUCUCUAUUAUAUGAAGUUCCUGGAUAUUGACUUUUCCGCUUUCCUGAGUCCAUAUAAAGUUUACCAGUAGCAAAAAUUCCACGCACUGGUGCACAUAUGCUACAACCGGAAUAAAGACAAUUAUCAUAGUGGGAGACCAGAACAGAAUACUGGUAACAGUUACACUGAUGGCUACUGCAAUUUGUCAUAUGAAUAUGCUUCAGAAAGGGGACUUGGUUAAUUGUGUUUCCCAGCUUGCUCUUGUACGUAAUAUAUGAAAGGAGGAUAGUUUGCAAAUCUGAAGAACAUGAAUUUGUUAGUUUAGCAGCACUUAGUGGACCAAGAUCACUAACAGAAACUUCUGAAUAAUAUUGUUGACUCGCAUUAAUUUGUUCAGGAAGCUCCGGAAGCUUAUAAAUCUGUCUCUCUGAACUCUGAUUAAAAUUUCCAUCAUGUUUUACUGAAAACAAAUGUGAUUGAGGAUGUAAAUUCUCAUCAACCUGCAGAUAAGACUGCUGAACACAACGAUCACUUUGUUGGAAACCAGUUACCAGAAGCUGAUCUGUACUGCCUGCAUGACUUGUAAAGGGUGUAUUAUAUUCUACUCUACUAAAGUCAUUACAGGCUUCCGACAUGUUCCAUGAGAAUUGUGGGACCAUCAUAUUCAUAUCAGAUGGGCUUGUUUUUCCCCUCAACAUUGGUGAAAAAUUUACAUGAGCGAGAUUUUGGUUAUUCUUUGGGAAACCUGUACAAUGUAUUUAUCAGUCAAAUUCAAUGACCCUUGUAGAAUAAAUACUUAAAAGAAAAAUGUUCACUACUUCUAAAGAAUAGAGCUGAACAAACAUGAAAGAUAUAUUUACUAGGCAAAAACGAUGUAUCAGAACUUCCCAACUUCAGAAAGUUAUUUUACUAUUGAUGAAAAAAAGUUAAUGUUAAAAUACAUAGAUAGUGUGUCACAAUUUGGAAUUGCGUAUAUACAUGUUGAAGCAUUCCAAAUAUACAAGGUUAGUGAGCAAAUUNAAAGCAGCCUCUUGGUGCUGCUCCACAUGCAAAACUCGAUCAUGAGGACAGGGUUGAUUCAUUGCAGGAGUAGCUAAGUCGUAAAAUGGAACUUCCAUUUUGUGACGUUUAAGACGAGGCAGACAAUCAACAAUGGGAUCACUACAGGUGCCAUUAACUUCUCUAUUAUAUGAAGUUCCUGGAUAUUGACUUUUCCGCUUUCCUGAGUCCAUAUAAAGUUUACCAGUAGCAAAAAUUCCACGCACUGGUGCACAUAUGCUACAACC
rnacentral:lncRNA from 1 species